GCUAACUGAAAUCAUUUAUUGAUUUUAUCUAAGUGAUGUAAUAAGGGAAAAUAAUGAUAAUACCUUACAUAUAGUGUUGUCAAAUUCUGGUGCCAGAAGACUCGGUAAUGCCAGUAACACGAACGUUAGUCCUCAUUUACAGGCGUAAAGGGUUUGUAGGCAGCUCUUAUAAAAAGAAUUUAAUUUAAUUAAUAAAAAAAACCCUUUAUUAAUAAUUCCAUUUUCUUUUUUAAGAGCUAGAAUCAAAAAGAAGUUAAUAAGUAUAAUACUUAGAGGAGGGUUAAUAUCCAAAUAACCUAAGGGGAGUACUACCGGUGUAAACAACUAACUAUAAAUGAUUGACGCUGAGAGACGAAAGAGAGGAUAGGAAAUAGGAUUAGAUACCCAGGUACCCCUCUCUGUAAACGAUGAAUGGUAGUUGUUAGUUGCAUAUACUAGUGGCGAUGUUAACGCGUUAACCAUUCCGCCUUGGGAGUACGACUGCAAAGUUGAAAACAAAAAAAUUAGUCGGUCUCGAAGCAAACGGAAUGAAGCAUGUUAUU
rnacentral:rRNA from 1 species